GAGGUUAUUGGGCAACGCAAAUCCAGGCAGCUGGGCUGGAGGCGGUGGUCGCUAGGCUAGGUCAAGGGGGACCGCCUGGGCAGCAACCAUUCCCCUAUUCCUUGUCCUCAGCUUCCCUCCUGCCGGGCACCUCUCGCAGCGCAGGAUGUGGACUGAGUCAAAGCGGUGGGGGGAAGGGAGCAGGUCCCAGACGACCACGAUUCCCGAGGUUCCCACUCCCUGGAGACUCAGUAUGGCUGUACCGCUCCGGUGGUCUGGUCAGCGCACCUUGCCUCUGCACACCCAGCCUAGCCAUUCUCGAUCAUAACUGCUAAAAGGAGCAAAGGAGGAAGGCUUAAGAAGUAGAAUCCACGUGUAAAUCCAAACCCUUAUAUUAGUCUCCCCAUACCCCCAAAUCCGCCUCCAGGUAGCUCUUUAACCAGAACCCCCGGCAGGUAAAUUAAUUUGACUGCUUGGAGUUAAGAGCUAAAUAAGUUUGGGUGAAAAAAUGAGCUAGGACCUUCGGCGAUCCGGGAAAGGAAGACUGAGUCCCGACGUCAAAAGGCCCCGGCCUCGCAUUGGAGGCUACCUGAUUGCUGGAAAACUGUAGCGUUCAAGACAGUGUUGCCACUCAUUCUGUGCUGGUGAAUCCGUGUACACCAUGAUACCAAGACUUAGGGGUGCCAUCAGGCCCUUCUGGAGCCAGCUUCCUACUUGGAGGACACAGAAAAGACCACCGUGCUUCUGCAAUGUGGAUUCCCAGCACCACUUCAAGGUUCCAAAUCCCCGCUGGACCACUAACUGCCUGUCCUGCUGCCCCAGGACUAGAUGGGAAGCACAACAACAUAUACAAAUAAUCCUCCUGUGAACAGGGACACAAGUGAGAAUGACACCUUUAGAGAGCCCGAGGUGAAGUCUGUGUCCAUGUCUACCAGAAUUUGGCCUAUAAUCUUGACCUCAUCAUGAAGAGCUGCAACCAUCUGACCUAAUGUUACUCAGUAAUCUUCCUGUCAGAAUAAUACGUGAUGAGUAUUUUCAUUUUGUUAUCAUGGUUGUGAUCCUGAUUCCCUGAGGCUGGAUGACUACCUGGGUGGGAGCAUUACUCACUUAACAAAUACAUAUGGGAGUUUCCCGGUUGUCAGGCAUGAAGGAAGCACUGGGGCACCGGACAAACAUGGUGCCCACCUUCAAGGAGUUACAGUCCAGUGUG